rnacentral:rRNA from 1 species
GAGUUUGAUCAUGGCUCAGAUUGAACGCUGGCGGCAUGCCUUACACAUGCAAGUCGAACGGUAACGCGGAGCAAUCUGGCGACGAGUGGCGAACGGGUGAGUAAUAUAUCGGAACAUACCCUAGAGUGGGGGAUAACGUAGCGAAAGUUACGCUAAUACCGCAUACGAUCUGAGGAUGAAAGUGGGGGAUCGCAAGACCUCAUGCUCAUGGAGUGGCCGAUAUCUGAUUAGCUAGUUGGUAGGGUAAAAGCCUACCAAGGCGACGAUCAGUAGCUGGUUUGAGAGAACGACCAGCCACACUGGAACUGACACAC